UUGAUAGAAGCCAAAGUAGAGGCAUAUCAUUGUUAAUGAUACCACUGAAUUUUUCCUAUCAAA
rnacentral:tRNA from 1 species